GACGAACGCUGGCGGCGUGCCUAAUACAUGCAAGUCGAACGCAGUGGGGACGGGUGCGUAACCCGUGGGUAACCUCCCAUCAGAGGGGAUAACACUUGGAAACAGGUGCUAAACCGAUACUGAUGGAUGGACCCGCGGUGCAUUAGCUAGUUGGUGAGGUAAAGGCUCACCAUGGCCACGAUGAAUAGCCGACCUGAGAGUGGGAUCGGCAACGCUGAGACGGAGACACGGCCCAGACUCCGACGUGAGGCAGCAGUAGGGAAUCGUCGGCAAUGGACGAAAGUCUGACCGAGCAACGCCGCGUGAGUGAAGAAGGUUUUCGGAUCGUAAAACUCUGUUGUUAGAGAAGCGGUAUCUAACCAGAAAGCCACGGCUAACUACGUGCCAGCAGCCGCGGUAAUUC
rnacentral:rRNA from 1 species